GUGCGGCUGUUGAGCAAAAGUUGGUACCGCAACCUAGGCCUUGGCCUCGUCGGCGCUCGUGGACUGCCUGUGGACGGGUUGCAGGCACAUCGCUACUGCGAACCGCCUCUGACCUGCAAUUUCCUCUCCCCAAGCAACGGCCUCCGGAGCCGUGUGCGCAGGUUCGAAUCCUGCGGGGCACU
rnacentral:tRNA from 1 species